UUUCAGAAGUCAGACGUGACUUCGUUACUGUCGUAGUAUCAUUGUUACACGUGUGUUAAACGAAUUUAGAGACAAUCUAUCCAAUUAACAUCUGGUAAAGUAAAUAAAUUAUAAGGAAAGUAAUACAGUAUCGCGAUAUUGAUAACGCAAGCAACACAGUAAAUUUGGAUAAAAACAAUUGUGAUAUCGAAUCUUAUUGAAAAAUUUUGUUAUAAAAUCGUUAGAUAUUUACGAUGCAUUUCAUUAAAUUAAUGCACAGUUUAAAGCAAGUUUUAUAUUCGUUUGCUGCUAUUAUUAGUUUCUUUCUAUGCUUAUCAGUAAUACUACCAAUUAGUAAAGCGCAUAUUGAAUUUUAUACGAAAAGUACUACUGAAAAAAAUGUACCAUCUGAUGAUAUCAAUAAAAAUAUUAAUAUGCAUUUGUGGGACAAAUUGGAGAAUAAUGUUCGAUGCUUUCAUAGUAUUGGCUUUAUUAAUUUUUUUAGUUAUUGUUUUGGCAGUUAUUCUAGUUGCUUUUGAAGC